UACGGAGGGGACUAGCGUUGUUCGGAAUUACUGGGCGUAAAGCGCACGUAGGCGGAUUUGUAAGUCAGGGGUGAAAUCCCGGGACUCGACCUCGGAACUGCCUUUGAUACUGCAAAUCUCGAGUCCGGAAGAGGUGAGUGGAAUUCCUAGUGUAGAGGUGAAAUUCGUAGAUAUUAGGAAGAACACCAGUGGCGAAGGCGGCUCACUGGUCCGGUACUGACGCUGAGGUGCGAAAGCGUGGGGAGCAAACAGG
rnacentral:rRNA from 1 species